rnacentral:tRNA from 1 species
AUUUAAGUAGUUUAAUUAAAAAUGAAGAUUUGUGGAGUCUUUGAUGUUUUGUCACCUUAAG